rnacentral:rRNA from 1 species
AUGUCGUUCUCUCCGCCGCCAUGUCCGGCCCCUUCUCCUCCGCCAUGUCCGGCCCCUUCUCCGCCGCCAUGUCCGGCCUCUUCCCCGCCGCCAUUAUCGAUCAUCUCUUCGCCUUGCCCCGUGUCAUCAUUGCCUACCUCGUCGGCAUCCUCAACAUCGUCAUCCUCAUCUUCAAUUAUCCACCGAGUAUACAGCAGCGCGCUUUGCGGUAAGGUGCUACUGCUAACUGGGACAAAAAAUUGUGGCAAUUUGAAACUUACCAGCAGCGAUCUCGAGGAAACCGCGCUACUACUACUGUGCUUCCUCGGAUCUCAGCUGCUGCUGGGAUUGGGCAUUCUUCUCCAACUAAACGACUUUAGCCAUGUUCUUGGGGCGUCAUCUCUUCUUUUGGUCUUCUCUUAUCCCUUGAUGAAGAGGUUCACAUCUUGGGUAUCUCUGUUAGGAUGGGCUGCUAUCAAAGGGAGCCUAGAUCCUGCUGUCAUCCUCCCAUUGUAUAGUGCUGGUAUAUGUUGGACAUUGGUGUACGAUACCAUAUAUGCACAUCAGGACAAAGAAGAUGACCUCAAAGUAGGAGUUAAGUCCACAGCAUUAAGGUUUGGAGAUUCGACCAAGCAAUGGAUCAGUGCCUUCGGUGCUGCAUCGAUUGGCAGCUUUGCACUCAGUGGCUACAAUGCUGAACUUGCAUGGCCGUACUACCCUCUUCUGACAGCCGCAGCUGCACAGUUGGCAUGGCAGAUUUCAACCGUCGACUUGUCUGACCGCUCAGACUGCAACAGGAAAUUUGUGUCAAACAAGUGGUUUGGAGCUCUGGUAUUCUGGGGAAUUGUUUUUGGGCGACUCGCAUCGUGA